GCCUGGAGUUUGGCUUUCUGAGAGGAAGGCUAAGAACUGGGCAUUGGUUCUGAAAGCUCCAGAAAUGCCUUUAUGAUGCCCCUUGAUAAUUCGGUGACUCUAUGUGUCAUCCUCUAUUUCUCAGGAGAAGUGAAAAAUAAGAAACGGGUUUAAUAAAACGACUGUGCAGCAGGUAGUUCAAAGAGGAUUGGGAAGCCUGGGCAUAAGUGGAGGGACGCAAAUGCUAUCCCUGAGGAUCAUAGCCGCUCGUGUUUGUGCAUUGGAAAAUCAAGCCAUCCACCUCACCUCACCCUCCCUGCUUCAGGCAUAAAUCUGCAGAUCAACAUCCAACAACUUUGAAUACCAGGGCAUAGAAGCGCCUGUUGAAAAAAAUACCCAUAAGGACACCACCAGUGAUAAGGAGUUGCAACUGGUGUCAUCUGCAUUCCAGUAGCAAUCCUUCAGUUCCAGCCGCGAACGGGAGCAUGCGGUCGCUGUAUCUACAGCAUCUAGCAACUGCACGGGACCUAGUGACCACUCAGUCAUGAAUUAAAUGACUUCUCUACAGGAAUCUUAAAAUUUCUGUUUUCCUUUAAUGACCGUAGAAAAAGUGAAAAAUUCUAGUCGUCUUGAGACUGAUGUGGUAUAUUGGUGUGCAUGUGAUUGUGUUAGUGUUUAAGAUUGUGCUUGUGACAAAUGGUUAAUGAGAAAAGAAAACUAGGCACCCAAAUAUGUGAUGAUGUGCAUGUGCUGAGCUGAGGCCAUCAGCACUGCACCAGGCUAUAGAAUGAUGAUCGCACAGACGUCACUAGGCCCUUCCAAUAUUGCCAUGUGGAGCUUGAAAGCACCUGUCCCUCGCCAGCAAGACCAUGUGAGGUAAACCAGUAAUUUCA